GGCUGGGACUUGGACACAUUUCUUCAGUUGAGACACAUGGAAAACAUCAUGUAUGGCCGAUAGCUAUUCUGGGAGUUGGAUCCGGUAAGCGACUGGUCCAUAAAUUUCCACAAUCUCAUAUGGGCCAAUGUAACGGGGAGCUAAUUUUCCUUUUACUCCAAACCGUUGUACUCCUUUUGUCGGGGAGACCCGAAGAUACACAUGGUCACCAAUGUCAAACUGUAGGGGCCUUCU
rnacentral:lncRNA from 1 species